GAACGGGUGCGUAACACGUAUGCAACCUACCUUUAACUGAGGGAUAGCCCAAAGAAAUUUGGAUUAAUACCUCAUAAUAUUACGAGAUCUCAUGGUCAUGUAAUUAAAACUCCGGUGGUUAAAGAUGGGCAUGCGCAACAUUAGCUAGUUGGUAAGGUAACGGCUUACCAAGGCAACGAUGUUUAGGGGGUCUUAAAGGAUGGUCCCCCACACUGGUACUGAGACACGGACCAGACUCCUACGGGAGGCAGCAGUGAGGAAUAUUGGUCAAUGGACGAAAGUCUGAACCAGCCAUGCCGCGUGAAGGAUGACGGCCCUAUGGGUUGUAAACUUCUUUUAUAUAGGAAGAAACCCCUCUACGUGUAG
rnacentral:rRNA from 1 species